UAGUAUCGUCAGUGCCGGUUUAAGCACUACCGGCGCCCCUGGGCAAGAUUGCAAGUGGCGCCUCUAAAAAAAAAUUCAUCUAAAAACAAUUUUUUAAAAUCACGAAAAAAAGCAAUAGCAGAUUAUGUCUUACCUCUCAUAUACUUGUUAAUGCAUUUAUUAAAAAUGUGCAGUGUAUUAACUUAAAAAGGUUAACUUAAAAAAAAAAAUUAAUUAUUCAUGUCAUUUAGGCUCAAUUGACAAGACUACCUUUAUCUCUGACUUUUUUGUUUAAACACAUUUAAAGAUUAGGUACAGUUGGUCUUAUUUGAACAAUAUUUUUUCAAAAACUUUUUCAACUAGGUACAUUAAUGUCGUUUUCGAUUGGAAUCACUCAAUGAUUCACUCAUUC